GUGCCAUCGUAGACAUGGCCCACUCGGAUCAAAGUGUAGCAUCUGUUCUUAUUAGCUUAAUAUCUGAUGCGGGUUGUAUUUGGACCCAAGAUGAGCCAAGAACUUAUUUUUGCAAGUUAGCGGAGUGCUUGAAGCUUGCUUCAGCUCCGCCGCAGGUCGGCCCGUUGUUGCGCGAUCUUCGGGAUCGGCCCUCGCUUU